AUACCAUGGUGAGGGCAUUACCUUAACAAAUCUUUGAAUAUUUCCCAAUCAUCAAAUAAGGAUUCUUCAUCUCCUUGUCUAAAUGAUGUAAUUAUAUUUCUCAUCUU